ensembl:rRNA 5S_rRNA 5S ribosomal RNA
GUAUAUGGACACACUACCCUGAUAAUGCUUGAUCUUCUCUAAUCUUGGAAGCUAAGCAGGGUCAGUUCUGGGUAGUAUUCGGGAGACCAUCUGGGGAUAUAAGGUGCUAUAGGCU